rnacentral:rRNA from 1 species
UACAGAGGGGGCAAGCGUUGUUCGGAAUUACUGGGCGUAAAGGGCGCGUAGGCGGCCCGCUAAGUCGAACGUGAAAUCCCUGGGCUCAACCCAGGAACUGCGUCCGAUACUGGCAGGCUUGAAUCCGGGAGAGGGAUGCGGAAUUCCAGGUGUAGCGGUGAAAUGCGUAGAUAUCCGGAGGAACACCGGUGGCGAAGGCGGCAUCCUGGACCGGUAUUGACGCUGAGGCGCGAAAGCCAGGGGAGCAAACGGG